rnacentral:rRNA from 1 species
UGCUCCUGGAUUCAGCGGCGGACGGGUGAGUAAUGCCUAGGAAUCUGCCUGGUAGUGGGGGAUAACGUCCGGAAACGGGCGCUAAUACCGCAUACGUCCUGAGGGAGAAAGUGGGGGAUCUUCGGACCUCACGCUAUCAGAUGAGCCUAGGUCGGAUUAGCUAGUUGGUGGGGUAAAGGCCUACCAAGGCGACGAUCCGUAACUGGUCUGAGAGGAUGAUCAGUCACACUGGAACUGAGACACGGUCCAGACUCCUACGGGAGGCAGCAGUGGGGAAUAUUGGACAAUGGGCGAAAGCCUGAUCCAGCCAUGCCGCGUGUGUGAAGAAGGUCUUCGGAUUGUAAAGCACUUUAAGUUGGGAGGAAGGGCAGUAAGUUAAUACCUUGCUGUUUUGACGUUACCAACAGAAUAAGCACCGGCUAACUUCGUGCCAGCAGCCGCGGUAAUACGAAGGGUGCAAGCGUUAAUCGGAAUUACUGGGCGUAAAGCGCGCGUAGGUGGUUCAGCAAGUUGGAUGUGAAAUCCCCGGGCUCAACCUGGGAACUGCAUCCAAAACUACUGAGCUAGAGUACGGUAGAGGGUGGUGGAAUUUCCUGUGUAGCGGUGAAAUGCGUACAUAUAGGAAGGAACACCAGUGGCGAAGGCGACCACCUGGCCUGAUACUGACACUG